rnacentral:rRNA from 1 species
UACAGGGGGGGCAAGCGUUGUUCGGAAUUACUGGGCGUAAAGGGCCAGUAGGCGGCCAACUAAGUCACACGUGAAAUCCCCAGGCUUAACCUGGGAACUGCGUGUGAUACUGGAUGGCUUGAAUUCGGGAGAGGGAUGCAGAAUUCCAGGUGUAGCGGUGAAAUGCGUAGAUAUCUGGAGGAACACCGGUGGCGAAGGCGGCAUCCUGGACCGGCAUUGACGCUGAACAGCGAAAGCCAGGGGAGCAAACGGG